UACAGAGGUCCCAAGCGUUGUUCGGAUUCAUUGGGCGUAAAGGGUGCGUAGGUGGCGUCGUAAGUCGGGUGUGAAAUCUCGGGGCUUAACUCCGAAACUGCAUUCGAUACUGCGGUGCUUGAGGACUGGAGAGGAGACUGGAAUUUACGGUGUAGCAGUGAAAUGCGUAGAGAUCGUAAGGAAGACCAGUGGCGAAGGCGGCAUCCUGGACUGGUCCUGACACUCAGGAGCGAAAGCGUGGGGAGCGAUCCGG
rnacentral:rRNA from 1 species